CACGGGGAAGAUGGCCAGGAGGACUGUGCGGUACUCGACGGCAUCUUCGUUGUUCGAGGGCGAGGAGUCCGUGCUCCCCAUGGGACUCUGGACUACUGUGGAGUUCAUCUUAGGAGAAGGAGAGCAAGGGAGAGAGGUGGUGAGUUGGGACAAGUCUCAUGUGCCCAGUGCUCCCUCCCUCCCUCUUACCUAAUGUGGUCCAGCUGAUGAUCUGAUUAAGAAGUGGCAGGCCCUGUUUCUGCUGCAGACUGGAGUGUGUGAGGGAGGGCACAUAUGCACACACUGCCACAUGGAGCAUCUGUUGAGUUUGACAGGUGCAGCGGUGUUCUCCGUCGUGAUGACCAGAGGUAACAGGCUGAUGUGAAGAGAGCAAGUAGACCUGCGCAGGUACUGAGCCAACAAACAACAAAUAUUACUAUAACACACACAGCAUCUAGCUUAAUGUUGCACAUGUACGUUGUAUAAAGGUAUUACAGCAAUAAUUAUCAGCUUAAUUAUCAGUCUCUGACUCCUGUAGAAUUUUUAGUUUUAUUUACAGCAUCAUGAGGCUUUUUGACCGGUUAUUUAAAGGGGAACCACGCCCACUUUACAUAUCACCUUCAGGUAGCUUGUAAUGGGAAGGCCGGUUUAGCUUUUCAAAUUAGUUGGAAAAUGGCUUCUGUGGAUAUAGCUUUGUUAGAUCUGAGAAAUUAACCCUAGUGAUGACUCGGAUUGAAGGCUACAACAUUUUAUAGAUUGCAAAUUCUAAUUGAAAACCGAGGGGGAAAAAAAGUUAAUUGAAGAUUUAACUAUUUAAACUAAAUGGAAGUUUGCAUACAUUUUCCAUAUUUUGGACAAUUGUAUAUUGAUAUGGGGAAAACAUUGAUAUUUUGAUAUUGAACAAAUCAUACUGCUCAUCUAGUUCUGAAUUCAAGAAAACUAAUUUUGUCAAUCUGUGAUGUCAUUUAAUUUAAGAAUGGAGAAAAAAAACCUUUUGAGGUCUUGUAAAUGUAAGAAAACAGAGGAAUCACUCACACCAGAUGUAUGUUCGGCUCUCUUCCCACAACAGGCAUCAGGGGGAAAAGAGCCAAAAACAAGCUGCCCAGAAACCAGCUCAAUGAGUGGAACUACAUGCGGACAGAGACAACACAUGCACAUAGUUAGAGGAUGUAUGACAAUUCAUUUUUUAACAAACAAACCAGAUACUAAUCUGAGGUAGACUGAUUAUUUAUAAGUUUAAGGGAACGUCAAAAAUGUGUGCAAGUUCCACAACAAACCACUUAGUUCCCAUCUUUGUGCAUCGCUUAACCCACAGAUGUUUCAACAAAUUGACGCAACUAAAAGACAAAAUGAACAACCACAUUUUUCAAAAGGAAGAAAGAAAAGAGAAAUGAUUUCAGGACUGGGGCAGAGGAUUGAAAUAAGUGAUCAAGUGUCGAAUCAUAUAACGAUCUUGAUUAUUGAGGAGAAUUUAUGAAACGGGUUUACUUAUCAAUGAAAUGCUGAAUAAAAAAAAUGUGAGGGUGGUGUAAAAAGAAAUCUAAAAGGCAAUACAGAAAUCCAAAAGAUAAUCUAUUCAAUCAUGUUGAUUAUAUUCAUUCUAUUAACUAUUAAUUAAGGUUAUUGCACUUUUUUCACCAAGUAGAUUCUUUCAGCGUCUUUUUUGUUCAUUGAUAAAGGUGACUGAUUUGUCCAUGAGUUGGCUUAACAUCCAUCAGUCAAGAAAAAUUCUGCAAAAGGGUUUAAUUCACAGGAAACUCCAUCUCCUAUUCCCACAUUUCCUGGAGAGACAUCAUUUUCCAUCACCUUUUCCAAGUAUGGAAAUCUACUUAUUCAAAUACCAUGACUUUUCCUGGCAAUACUCGACAUGUCUAGUUUGAAGUCAUUUUACAUUUUUUGUUUCCAAAAUGAGAGUAUUACUCAUUCAUUAGCUAUCGGAGCCAUUAUCUGUGACAGAGUUACCUUGGCCUUGCCAACAAGUCCUGACAGGAAGGGCCAGAGCGAGAGGACAGCCAGGCCCACAGUCAGCACGGCGCGAUAGAAGAAACUCGCCACCUGGGGGCAGCAGAGGUGAGCCGUCACCCACAGUGAACUGUAAACUACAUUGUAUCAUAAUGUACAUGUAGUAUUUGGAGGUCGGCUAAUGCUGUAUAGCAGAAAUAUGCCUCUACCUAUACAUUACAGAACCUUAUAGAACACCUACCAGUAACUCAACUCCAAAUGCCACCAGCACAAAAUAGCCAAAACAUUUCCACAGUGGAAGAGAAGGAGCCGACUGAAUCAAAUCUGUCAGAGUACGAGACCUAAAAUGGAUCAUUUAUGAGAUUAUUAUUUCACGUGAUAACAUUGAGAAGAAAACAAAAAUGCAAAUGCAGUGGGAAAACACCACUUCAAAGGAUGUAAAUUAUCUCAUCACUUGCGACAGACAUGCAUGAAUGUGAUGUGUGUGGUAAAUAAGAGCCAAGAUAAAAAGUGCAAUAUUCAUUGACUGUUUAUAAUGUAUGUGUGCACAUGUGUUUCAUGUUUUUUGUGGUACUCACUCCUU